UGUUCUACUAUACGUUAAUUCAAUAAAACACCAUUCAUGCGCGUCACUCUUAGACCGACGGAAGCCGGCGCUCUUCGGAGUGUCCUGCAAAUACCGAAUCUAGCCAAAUGCCUCGUCAUCUAAUUAGUGACGCGUAUGAAUGGUUCAACAAGAUUCCUUUUGUCCCUAUCUACUAUCUAGCGAAACCACAGCUAAAGGAACGGGCUUGGCAAAAUCAGCGGGGAAAGAAGACCCUGUUGAGCUUGACUCUAGUCUGACUCUGUGAAGAGUCAUGAAAGG
rnacentral:ncRNA from 1 species